AUCAACUUUCGAUGGUAGGAUAGAGGCCUACCAUGGUGGUAACGGGUAACGGGGUGUUAGGGCACGACACCGGAGAGGGAGCCUGAGAAACGGCUACCACAUCCAAGGAUGGCAGCAGGCGCGCAAAUUACCCAAUCCCGACACGGGGAGGUAGUGACAAUAAAUAACAAUACGGGGUUCUUUCGGAUCUCGUAAUUGGAAUGAGUACAAUUUAAAUCUCUUAACGAGGAACAAUUGGAGGGCAAGUCUGGUGCCAGCAGCCGCGGUAAUUCCAGCUCCAAUAGCGUAUAUUAAAGUUGUUGCAGUUAAAAAGCUCGUAGUUGAAUUUCGGGGUUAGUAGGUUGGUCAUGCCUCAGGUAUGCACUGGUCUCACUGAUUCCUCCUUCCUGAUGAGCCGUAAUGCCAUUAAUUUGGUGUUGCGAGGAAUCUGGACUGUUACUUUGAAAAAAUUAGAGUGUUUAAAGCAGGCUAACGCUUGAAUACAUUAGCAUGGAAUAAUGGAAUAGGACGUUCGAUCCUAUUUUGUUGGUUUCUAGGAUUGACGUAAUGAUUAAUAGGGAUAGUUGGGGGCAUUAGUAUUCAAUUGUCAGAGGUGAAAUUCUUGGAUUUAUUGAAGACUAACUACUGCGAAAGCAUUUGCCAAGGAUGUUUUCAUUAAUCAAGAACGAAAGUUAGGGGAUCGAAGACGAUCAGAUACCGUCGUAGUCUUAACCAUAAACUAUGCCGACUAGGGAUCGGAUGAUGUUAAUUUUUUAAUGACUCAUUCGGCGCCUUACGGGAAACCAAAGUGUUUGGGUUC
rnacentral:rRNA from 1 species